UAUUCAGUCUGUUUUGUCAAACCACAAUGGACAAAUAAAGCAUUCAACAGCAGGCCCUAAUUUUAGCCUGCAUAGCUUACUUAGCGACGUUCGUCAGGGGUCAGUAUGGCUUCCGCACCUUCAGUGAUUUUAGUGGUUUUGGAAACGGAUUGGAUGCCCCUCUCCAAGCUACCAGGGAUCCCAGGCAGAACCAAGGGCCAGUUGUAUUUCCCCCAGCCCCCCCAGACAGUGGAGAAACCAGCGGGGUGGUCGUAGGUGCUUCUGGAUACGGAUUUGUGCCACCACAAAAACCAAGAUACCAGUCACUCUUCUCUUUCUUCUGAAAAACCUCAAGCCCAACUUUAGUAUUACUUCGUGAAAAUUACAGUGCAGGGAGCCGAUAUUCCAGUUUCAUCAGUGUCUCAAAAAUAAUAGCGUAUCUGUUAUAAAUGUAAAUGUUGUAAAUAGUUUGUUUUAUGUACUCCACGCUUUUUGUCAACCAUAUACUGCCAUCACUCUUUGAGUUGUUAAAAGCUCAAAUCAACUAAGAAUCAUAGGAGAGUUAUUCUCUAACCAGAGAACUUUUUGGAUUUGUUAAUGUAAUGUUUUUGGGCAGUAGUUAGUACCUAGUUUAGUAGUUGAAUAAUGUAUUUAUUGCAUGAGUCGAGCAAUUUAUUUAUUAAAUUUUGUUAUUCAAA
rnacentral:lncRNA from 1 species